rnacentral:snRNA from 10 species
CUUCUUUCGCAGAGCAAAUAUCAUAGUCUGUGAAGAACAAUUGAGAUGUUAUUAUAGCUGGUUGAAAACUUAACCCUAUUCCCUGCCAGGAUGAAUUGAAACUAGCAAUCCAUAACCAUUCUUGCCUGUCUCCAACAGGCUUGAAAUGAUGUCUAAAACACAUUUAUGU